rnacentral:rRNA from 1 species
AAACACGGACCAAGGAGUCUAACAUGUGCGCGAGUCAUUGGGUUGUCAAACCUAGAGGCGCAAUGAAAGUGAAGGUCCCGCCUCGCGCGGACCGAGGGGAGAUGGGGCGCGCGGCAGCGCUGCUCCCGCACCCCCGGGGCGUCUCGUUCUCACUGCGAGUUGAGGCGCACCCAGAGCGUACACGUUGGGACCCGAAAGAUGGUGAACUAUGCCUGGCCAGGACGAAGUCAGGGGAAACCCUGAUGGAGGUCCGUAGCGAUUCUGACGUGCAAAUCGAUCGUCGGAGCUGGGUAUAGGGGC